ACCCCACCACAUUGCUUCAAGCUAGUCACACCCUCCCUUUAUUGCAGCCAUGACCACCUAUAGCUCUGAAAUCGACCUUCCUCUCCUCCUCCCCUGAACCACCAUCCCGUAUAACUAUCAAAAUAGACCUCCCCGUUCCAUCCUCUCCCGGCCCCUGCACACCUACACUAGCAUUCCAUCAUGUUGACCCGUCGAGAGACGCCUCGGCCACCCCCUUCACCAUGGCCAGCGAUCAACCGACAGGGGGAAGUAGUCAGUCGAUGGAACCAUGACACGACGCUGAUUCAUCGGCGGCGUUGCAGCUUUCUAAGUUCACAAUGCAUUUUUCGCUGCUUCCAAUAAAGGAGGGGGGGGUCUCUCCUGCAGGGCAACUUUAAAAACUUUGGCAUUUCCAUCUCCGAAGAUGACUCCGGUCCUCUUGUGGUGAUCGGGGUUCUUGAGAAGUUAUUGCAGGAUGUAUCGUUCUUCUCCGUGUGGUAAUUCUAAAUAAAUCUCCGUUGUGGCUAUAGUUGGUAGUCUUUGUUCAUCAGGCUGCCACUGCCAGCUAUUGUAGUUGUUCGUGUAGGUGUGCGAGGAGGCAAGUUUGUGGGGUGGUGGGUGAAUGCAUAUGCGUAUGAUUUACGUGCGGUUCCACAUACUGCUACGGUAGCCGUUUGAGUAGGUGCAUGAAAAUACUAGUUUGCGGGUCUGUGUCUGCGUAUGCAUAUAUGCGUGUGAUUUACGUGCACUUCUGUGGUGGUUGGCACGUCAGAGACUCAGAGUACAAUUGUAGCUGGUUGCUAUCAUCUGUGGCUUUCCUCCUUGCUUUAUCUUAACCAAGGAAUCAAGGAUGGUUUGGGAGCUCCCAUGCCCGCCAAUGGGAGAGGGUCAGACAGUGGGAUUCCACCGGUAAAAUCUGGAGUUGGCAAUUAUGAGACCCUCCCCACCUCUGCUUCUAGCACCGUAUGAGUAUGGAGGACUCUCGUUUCUUGCAAGUAACAUUUGGCCAAUGUGAUCUCUAACUAUAAUAUAUAACCAGCCUCAUCAUCCUUCCAGGAGUGGGUGCUGAGAUUCUUAUUAGAUUUCUGUUAGCUAAUCAUUAGUUCUAGUAACUUUAGGAUUGAGGUUCAUGUUAAGUUUAGGUUAAAUUUUUAAUUUAUAUAUUGAGUUUGUUUUUAAGUUGAA